UACGUAGGGUGCGAGCGUUAAUCGGAAUUACUGGGCGUAAAGGGCGCGUAGGCGGCCUACUAAGUCAGACGUGAAAUCCCCCGGCUUAACCUGGGAACUGCGUCUGAUACUGGAAGGCUUGAGGAUGGGAGAGGGAUGUAGAAUUCCAGGUGUAGCGGUGAAAUGCGUAGAUAUCUGGAGGAACACCGGUGGCGAAGGCGGCGACCUGGGUAGAUACUGACGCUGAGGUGCGAAAGCGUGGGGAGCAAACAGG
rnacentral:rRNA from 1 species